AUUGAACGCUGGCGGCAUGCCUAACACAUGCAAGUCGAACGAGUGGCGGACUGGUGGGUGAUGGCUGGGAACCUGCCUGAUCUAGGGGUAUAACUGCUGUAAACGUUGGCUACUAGCGCAUACCAUCAGUUGUGCCCUGAGUGGAUGAGCUUGUUGGGGGGGUAACGGCUCACCAAGGCGACGAUGCCUAGCUGGCCUGCGAGGAUGACCAGCCACACUGGAACUGAGACACGGCCCAGACUCCUACGGGAGGCAGCAGUGGGGAAUAUUGGGCAAUGGGCGAAAGCCUGAUCGAGCAAUGCCGCGUGAAUGAAGAAGGUCUUCGGGUUGUAAAGUUCUGUUGGUGGGGAGGCGUUACCCAAAGAAGAAGCAACGGCUAACUCCGUGCCAGCAGCCGCGGUAAUAC
rnacentral:rRNA from 1 species